UAGGGAAUCUUCCGCAAUGGACGCAAGUCUGACGGAGCAACGCCGCGUGAGUGAAGAAGGAUUUCGGUUCGUAAAACUCUGUUGUUAGAGAAGAACAGCGCAUAGAGUAACUGUUAUGCGUGUGACGGUAUCUAACCAGAAAGCCACGGCUAACUACGUGCCAGCAGCCGCGGUAAUACGUAGGUGGCAAGCGUUGUCCGGAUUUAUUGGGCGUAAAGCGAGCGCAGGCGGUCAAUUAAGUCUGAUGUGAAAGCCCCCGGCUCAACCGGGGAGGGUCAUUGGAAACUGGUUGACUUGAGUGCAGAAGAGGAGAGUGGAAUUCCAUGUGUAGCGGUGAAAUGCGUAGAUAUAUGGAGGAACACCAGUGGCGAAGGCGACUCUCUGGUCUGUAUCUGACGCUGAGGCUCGAAAGCGUGGGUAGCAAACAGG
rnacentral:rRNA from 2 species